CCUGGCAGUCCCAGCACGACAUUGCUGGGCAGAGGACACAAGGCAUUUCCUCCCGAGGCAGCUUGGCCUCCUGCCAGCGGGUCCCCAGAUGCCAUGCGAGACACACCUGAACGCGAUCCAAACAACUCUCCACAAGCACAUCUAACUUCGCACGUUGCACAGGAAGCUCUGAGCAUCUCAUUCACGCCAACUGCAUAUUGCCACGUGCCCCAUCGGCCCUGCCAGACAAUGGCCAGGAGCCUUAGCAUGAGGCCAUGCAGCACCCGCGCUACCACCCAUUCACCAUGUCCAAGCGAGGGGCUGAGGAUUAAAAACGGAGUCAAGACAGCGGGUCAUUCGUCUCAGCAGAAUACCGAAUGCCGUUUAUUGAAGGAGGGAGGAAACCUUAAAUACAGGCUUACAGCACAAUGGGAGAACCCCGGAGGGCAGAAGUUCACUACAGAUGUUUUACAAUCUUGCAUCCUAGCUGUUUACACCAAAUACACAGGACGCACAAACAGGAACCUCUGGUAAGCAUUCAGGAGGAAGGAAACUGGCAGGGAAUUAGCAUAGGGAGGACAUCUGAUCAAGGUCAGCAAGCAAGGCAACAGCUACCCAAGGAACGAGGGUCAGGGCCCAACAAGGCUACUGUGUGCCAUACUUGGCCCAGACUCCAGCUCCUUUAGCACAUACCUGCUUGCCCCUUAAUGCUACCUGCAUACACACAUACUAAGAGAGAAGGAGCACGAGAGAAACCUGUCCCUGCCUUUCCAUCGGCUGCCAAUCACUUUGAUCUUUAACAACUGCAUCUUUACCCCACAACCGGGGAAAGUGACAGAUGGUGACACUUCUGAGACAUGCCACCGCAUGCCCUUCAGGUCUUGGUUUGCUCCUAGGGAACCUAUGAGGUCUCAGUAGAAAAACUGUGUAUGAAGUCUUUGGGACGCCUGGCACAUGCAAAGAGUCUGUUAAAAAAAAGACUUCCUGCUUUCCUCAAAAAACAGCCAGGGAUAUCGGCUGGAGAGAUGGCUCAAUGGUUGAGACCACUUGUUGCUCUUGCAGAGGACCCAGGUUGGAACCCCAGCACCUAUAAGGUGGCUCACAGUCACCUUUAAUCCCCAGUUCCAGGGGAUCUGAUGCCCUCCUCUGAUCUCUGCAGGCACUGGGUAUGUACAAGGUGCAUAGAAAUCAUGUAGGCAAAACACCCAUGCAUAUUAAAUAAAACUAAAUAACAGCUUUAAAGAAUAGCCAGGGCUUUGCCAUGUAACAUGUAACAUGAGAGGGCUCUUCCUGUAGUCUAGGAUAGAGGACGAGAUAAAGGGAAGAAAAAUUGAUGGGGCAGAUGGGGGGCAGGAGAAGAAUUCCAAAGAGCCCCAGGAGGAGCCAUCGCCAUAGGCAGAAUAGUCUAUAAAGUCUCCCUAAGACUAACUCUCCUUCUGAUGAUCAGGUAAAUGUUUCCAUAGCAAGCACACGUGAAACAAAAAUAAACUCUUCCAACCUAUUUGCUCAAAACAAGCACCAAAUUCAAGCUGCCUCAGAAUGAGGAGGAAAAAGGUAGUGUUCUUCCUUUCCCACAGCCCCAUCAUUGGAAAAUGAACCCCAGAACAGCACGCCCUGGGGAGGAGAUGCCCUGCAAAUACCUCAGCACCUACUGAGUCACUUUCCAGUACUGAGGGAUCUCAGGUUGUUACCCAAAGGAAACAGCUUUCUCCAGUGGGAAGGCUCCUCAUUCAUCUUUAUUUACCCACAGGGAAUCCUUAGGAGCAUGCUUCUUCUACCGCCCUGAAUGCCAUGCCGUCCCUGCACACCCACGUGGUGCUGGGCCUCCUCUAGGGACCGAGUCACUGGGGAAGGAGAGAGAGAGAGACAGACAGACAGACAGACAGAGAAACAAAGAAACAGAUCAAGACUAAAUAAUGGGCUGAACUAGAGACCUAGAUACAGAGAGAGAGAGAGAGAGAGAGAGAGAGAGAGAGAGAGAGAGAGAGAGAGAGGUGUAGAAGUAGUGUUUGUUCUUCCCCUUAACAACCCUUGCAUACAUGUAACAAAAGCAAUCGCAGGUUGAACCUGACUCACUGAAGCAGCAGACACCCACACCGAACAGCACUGACAGUCACUCCACUCUCUUCCCCAUCACAUGCACCAGUGCGCACCAGUGCCCCACCAGCACCAUGCAGACUGUCCUUAAUGACAGAGAGAAAAGUAUCAGUUUGAUUCUUAAUUACAGGUUAAGAGCCUGUGUUAGGAAGUGGAAGAGGCCCCGGGGCCCUCCUCUCAUUCUCCGACAGAAGAAGUUGUCUGAGGGAAAGCAGCCGCUUGAGUUACCAGCUAAACUAGCCAUUUUCCUCUCAGGCCAGACCAUUUUUACUCAGUAUCUUACAAGCUAUGGCUCUUCAGACUUAGGCAUUUGGCAGAAAUCCUCUCAAAAAUGAACAAAGUGAGCCUGGUAGUUUAAGGAAAACAACUUGCCAAUGAUAAAGAUCUGUGAUUUCAAGUAAAAAAAAAAAAUCUAAAUUUUGGAAAACUUCUACCUAUCACCAUGUGCUUGACUGAGCGCUUUCCAAGGCUUUUCUAAUGAGAUUGAUGGUGGUGUUAAUAAAUAUGGUUCCUGGAUGCCACACAGUAAAAUGUGUCAAUAUUUGGAAGACCUCCAUAGCUCAAUAAAUUAAUAUUUUUCCAAAUGAUAAUCUAAAACCAGGCUUGGGUAAAAGACCCUAAGAACCAGGAGACAUUAGACCAAGAGAUAUCAAGGAUACCUUGGUUAGAUAUUUCUCUGGAAGGAAGAACAGCAUGCUUCACACACACACACAUACACACACACACACACACACACACACACACACACACACACACACGGUACUACAGUGAUACACUACAGGGGAAGUCUGUUAUUAAGAUUGUACAGAUAGCAAAUAUACUGCAGAGACCUUUAUUCCAAUGCACACACAUGUGCAGAAACACUACCCCGAAUCAUCCCAAGCCUGUCUGGCUGACUGCCGGAGUCCAUUUCCGAGUAGGAUUUCAAUAGCACAUGGCUGACUGUCUAAGAAUCCUCUCUCAUGAUUGAGUAAGCCACUGACAUUUCAAGGAUCGAGCGACAUGCCCAAACACUUACAUUUGUAGAAUAUCUAAAUGCAUUUGUCACAUUUGAGGAGUUGGGGCCAUAUGUAUGCCUGACUACAAGGAACCAAACUGGAUUUUCAAAUCUGCUCUGUUAGCAACUUUAAAGUUUGCAAUGAAGUAUCAUUUAUUAUAGCCAUCAGUCUGGGCAAAAAGUAAGUACAAGAAUGAGAUAAUGGAUUGUUAAUGAGCUUGAGCUAACCAUUCUAUAAUGUAACUACACCUCAAAAUGUUACAUAGUACCCCCAUAAAUAUAUACAAUGAUGAUUUGCCAAUUUAAAUUUUUUUUUAGUGCAGAAAGCUUGGUAGAGUGCAGCAGCCUGACCAACUUACUCCUCUCAAAAGAGAUACUGAGAAACCACCCCAAUGUCUUUCUCAAAUCUGCCUCCUUGAUGAGCACCCCAAUCUGACCCAAAUUAAGGAGCAGCCCUGACUAGGUUCAGCUAAAGAGACAACUCAGAGUUCGUCUACCCUUUUGCUGCGGUCUCUGAAGUCUGGAAAAUAGAUACACAGCCACAGGACAUAUUUCCAUCUUACAGAGGCAACAGUCUAGGUUGAAAUAGGCAAUUUUGUAAUACCCUGACCCUCCAAAGCAGGGAUGUUUGGGCAGAAAUCAAGAUGAUGCUUCUGUGAGUGAAAGAACACCAAAGAUGACCACACCAGGGCCCGAGGUACAUUCUUCCUCACAGAUGCCCACUGGUGACUCUCUGACCUUGAGCUUUUAGCCUCCAGAACUACAAGACAAUGGAUCCCAGUGUUUAAAGCACUCUGUCCUGCUUCAACAGCAGCCCCCGGAUAAUGGCAUAACUGCCCGGACCUACUACAGCUUUUCAACAGGUGGGUGAACUGGAGUUCCAGGGAGCCUAGGGGCCACAUGACUAGAGCAUAUGCACACUGGAGUUGGAGCUGGGUACCGUACUCAACAGUUCCUGCCUGUACCACCCCCCUCUGCAUCACACGAAUGGGCGAGUAGUGACUUAUUCUCCAUAAACUCCAAGGUUCACGGUGGCAUUUCCAGCCUUGCUGAUCAUCCUACAUCCUCAUUGGCAAGCCCCAAUGUUCUCACGAAGAGGGGAGCGCCUCACCUUUGAGCUUAAGCAGCUUUACAGACAAGUGUGCAGCUCAGAGUCCCGAAUCUGAAUCCCGGAUCAGCUUCUUUCCCGUGUUGGGGGCUUCCAACAGGUGUUUGAACUUCUCGACACUCCCGUGUCCUCACCUGUCAAAUGAGGAUGCUAAUGGUUACGAUGAGGAGACUGGGGCAUGGCCAGGUCCCGUAAGCGACACCACGGCUGUUCUGACUGUUCAUCUUCUCGACAGUAUCAAAUGUAUUUAUAAUAAAGUGACACUCAGCCAG